rnacentral:rRNA from 1 species
UACGUAGGGGGCAAGCGUUGUCCGGAUUUAUUGGGCGUAAAGAGCGUGUAGGCGGCCAUACAGGUCAGCUGUGAAAACUCGAGGCUCAACCUCGAGACGUCGGUUGAAACCGUAUGGCUAGAGUCCGGAAGAGGAGAGUGGAAUUCCCGGUGUAGCGGUGAAAUGCGCAGAUAUCAGGAGGAACACCGGUGGCGAAGGCGGGUCUCUGGGCAAUAACUGACGCUGGAGGAGCGAAAGCGUGGGGAGCGAACAGG